GACCCGGCCCCCUGGUCCAUCCCUGCCUCCCCAAGGGCAAGUUGGUGCGGACAAGACGGGAAGGGGGUCCGGAGGUGAAAAGUCCAUGCGUACAAUCAGAGUCCCCAAUGUUGGAAUUGUCCCCCAUGACUGGAAGAACAAGUUCUUUGAUACGUCCUGAUCCUUCCAUAGGUACGCCAAACACAGCCUUGACCUAAGGUACGGAGCCGGGAAUUCUGAAUAAGCAGAGCCAAGCAUUCUAGGGAAAGUGGGAGAGAGGACUCUGGCUUCCUGUCUUCCCCUCUCCUUGCCGUUCUCUCACCGCGCCUCGAAUACAGCCUACGCCUGAAGUACAGAGCCAGGAAUUUUGGGAAAGCAGGUGCUUCUGUUGGCAGGCUCACUGGAGGUCGGCUCUAUCACCCACUUCCUCACAAGAAUGAUUCGUCGUUGUGGCCGAGCAGGGAGGUGACCGGCUGUCGAGUGAGGCCAGGCUUGGCUCGUUUCCGACAUUAGGAAAACCGGCUUGUCGGAAGAAGGGUAUGCCAAACACCGUCUUCAUUCAAUCAUAUUUGACCCAAGGUAUGGAGCCAAGAACUCUGGGUGCCUGACUUUGCCUCUCCUCGCCCUUCUCUCACCGCCCCUCGUACACAGCCUACACCUGAAGCAAGGAACCAGGAAUUCUGAGAAAGUCGGUGCUUCUGUUUGCGGGUGCGGCAGGGAUCGGCCCCGUCAUUGGCCUCCUCAUGAAAGCAGUCUGUCGCCGUGGCCGAGCAGUGAGGCGACCGGCUGUCGAGCGAGGCCAGGCCUUGCUCUUUUCCACUGUUUGGAAAACCGGCUUGUUGGAAGAAGGUGCCACCACUCUGAAGCUCUGCCCACUGGAUGACUGCAGGGUUCUCAGCUGGGUGACUGAGGGCUCAGCAAGUGGAAGCUUUCUCUGAGGGCAUUCAGUCAGGCCAAGAAGAAAAUCACCAAUCAGGUCUCAGGAAGAAAGGUCCCAUGGGAGUGAUGACAAGGAACGAUCCUUCUGGGCUCCAAAGGG